GUGCCCAAGCAUUGAGGCAGUCAAAGUAGGCAAAUCCGCUUUGAUAAUGCUGGGAUGUGAUGGGGAGCGAAAUUUAGUAGCGAAGUAGCUGAUUUCACACUGUCAAGAAAAGUCUCUAUCGAGGUUAAAGGUACCCGUACCGCAAACCGACACAGGUGGGUGAGGAGAGUAUCCUAAGGCCAGCGAGAGAACUGUUGUUAAGGAACUCGGCAAAAUGACCCCGUAACUUAGGGAUAAGGGGUGCCACCAUCAGGUGGCCGCAGAGAAUAGGCCCAAGCGACUGUUUACCAAAAACAUAGGUUUCUGCUAAGUCGCAAGACGAUGUAUAGGAGCUGACGCCUGCCCGGUGCUGGAAGGUUAAGGGGAUCUGUUAGAGCAAUCGAAGCAGUGAACUUAAGCCCCAGUAAACGGCGGCCGUAACUAUAACGGUCCUAAGGUAGCGAAAUUCCUUGUCGGGUAAGUUCCGACCCGCACGAAAGGCGUAACGAUUUGGGCACUGUCUCAACAACAGACUCGGUGAAAUUGUAAUUCCGGUGAAGAUGCCGGAUACCUGCGACAGGACGGAAAGACCCCAUGGAGCUUUACUGUAGCUUGACAUUGGGUCUUGGUACUACAUGUACAGGAUAGGUGGGAGGCUUUGAAACCAGGACGCCAGUUUUGGCGGAGCCAUCCUUGGGAUACCACCCUUGUA
rnacentral:rRNA from 1 species